GCUAUCGGAUUGAUACUAAGCCAUGCGAGUCUUUGUAGUAAUACAAGGCAGACGGCUCAGUAACACGUAGUCAACCUACCCUAUGGACAAGAAUAAUCUCGGGAAACUGGGCAUAAUUCUUGAUAGAUCAUAAUGCCUGGAAUGGUUUAUGGUUAAAAUGAUUCGUCGCCAUAGGAUGGGACUGCGGCCUAUCAGCUUGUUGGUGAGGUAAUGGCCCACCAAGGCGAUUACAGGUACGGGCUCUGAGAGGAGAAGCCCGGAGAUGGGUACUGAGACACGGACCCAGGCCCUAUGGGGCGCAGCAGGCGAGAAAACUUUGCAAUGUGCGAAAGCACGACAAGGUUAAUCCGAGUGAUUUCUGCUAAAGAAAUCUUUUGCCAGUCAUAAAACCACUGGUGAAUAAGGGGUGGGCAAGUUCUGGUGUCAGCCGCCGCGGUAAAACCAGCACCUCAAGUGGUCAGGAUGAUUAUUGGGCCUAAAGCAUCCGUAGCCGGCUUUGUUAGUUUUCGGUUAAAUCCAUGUGCUCAACGCAUGGGCUGCCGAAAAUACUGCAUAGCUAGGGAGUGGGAGAGGUAGACGGUACUCAGUAGGAAGGGGUAAAAUCCUUUGAUCUAUUGAUGACCACCUGUGGCGAAGGCGGUCUACCAGAACACGUUCGACGGUGAGGGAUGAAAGCUGGGGGAGCAAACCGGAUUAGAUACCCGGGUAGUCCCAGCUGUAAACGAUGCAGACUCGAUGAUGCAUUGGCAUAAUAGCCAAUGCAGUGUCGCAGGGAAGCCGUUAAGUCUGCCGCCUGGGAAGUACGUACGCAAGUAUGAAACUUAAAGGAAUUGGCGGGG
rnacentral:rRNA from 1 species